rnacentral:rRNA from 1 species
GGAGUUAGCCGGUGCUUCUUCUGCGAGUAACGUCACAGAUGUAAGGUAUUAACUUACACCCUUUCCUCCUCGCUGAAAGUGCUUUACAACCCGAAGGCCUUCUUCACACACGCGGCAUGGCUGCAUCAGGGUUUCCCCCAUUGUGCAAUAUUCCCCACUGCUGCCUCCCGUAGGAGUCUGGGCCGUGUCUCAGUCCCAGUGUGGCUGAUCAUCCUCUCAGACCAGCUAGGGAUCGUCGCCUAGGUGAGCCUUUACCUCACCUACUAGCUAAUCCCACCUGGGCUUAUCCAUCAGCGCAAGGCCCGAAGGUCCCCUGCUUUCCCCCGUAGGGCGUAUGCGGUAUUAGCAGUCGUUUCCAACUGUUAUCCCCCACAAAUGGGCAAAUUCCCAGGAAUUACUCACCCGUCCGCCGCUCGUCAUCUUCAAAAGCAAGCUUUUGAAAUGUUACCGCUCGACUUGCAUGUGUUAGGCCUGCCGCCAGCGUUCAAUCUGAGCCAUAAUCAAACUCUGA